rnacentral:lncRNA from 1 species
AAGUAAUUUACUCUGCUAGUCAGCUACAUCUCUAUUUUGAUGUGUGUUUGAAUUAUUUGAAGUUUGAUGGGGCUUUUUUAAUGGUAGCCAUUGUAAGUUGAUGAACCUGAAGUUACUGCUACGUCUGAGUUUGAAGGUAAGUAUGAAAGGAAAACAUUUUUUUCAGCAUUCUGACCUUUUCUAUGCUCCUGUUAACUGGAUUUACUGUUUAUAGUCCACACAGUGGUGAUAGCAAUGAUUAAAGUCUUCCACAAUAAACCUAAGGACCUGGAUAGGCAUUUUUCAAGAGUUUUGCUCUGCACAAAUUUCUCAUAAGUGUCAGUAAUUAUUUGCCAUCAAUAACUGGAAAUAUAAAUGUGCAUAAAAAAGCCAGAAGUAAUAAUUUAAAUGUUCUGUGUAAUAUUUCUUAGUAGCUUGCAUGUGUGUGUCCCAUGCUCCUUUUCUUUACCAGCAAUGCCAGGAUUAUGACACAUCCCAAGGACCAGCGCUGUAGGCAUCCCAGGCUGUGUCCAUAUGUAUCACACUCUUCAGUCUCCACCUGUGGGACAUGCACGGCUGUACAGAACUGAAGGUUUUAAGCUGAUCUAAACCAUUUCGAUCUGCAGAAGGCUGAGCCAUGGGGUGCUGCAGGCUCAGCACAGAAGACUGUAGUGCUGUCAGUGCCAGAGACUGGGAAAGUCAGGAAACCUUGCUCUGGUCAGCAUUCAUUGACUCUUGGUGGAGCGGCUGUGUGUUGAUGGAUUCCUUUGAAUUGAAGAGAUACCUUUUGAAGACUCAUGCUUUCCAGGAAAUUAGUAUUCUUCACAUCUUCCUGCCACUGUCUAAAAACCGUGCAACUCUUCAUCUUAGAAAGCCAUUGUAG